rnacentral:rRNA from 1 species
UGGUGAACUGAAAUAUCUAAGUAACCAGAGGAAAAGAAAUCAACCGAGAUUCCGUCAGUAGCGACGAGCGAACGCGGACUAGCCCUUAAGCUGGAUUGGUUCUAGGAAAACACUCUGGAAAGAGUGGCCAUAGAAGGUGACAGCCCUGUAUCUGAAAGGGCCAUUCCAGUGAAGACGAGUAGGGCGGGGCACGUGAAACCCUGUCUGAACAUGGGGGGACCAUCCUCCAAGGCUAAAUACUACUGACCGACCGAUAGUGAACCAGUACCGUGAGGGAAAGGCGAAAAGAACCCCGGAGAGGGGAGUGAAAUAGAACCUGAAACCGUGUGCGUACAAGCAGUAGGAGCUCCGCAAGGAGUGACUGCGUACCUUUUGUAUAAUGGGUCAGCGACUUACUGUUCGUGGCAAGCUUAACCGUAUAGGGGAGGCGAAGGGAAACCGAGUCUGAUAAGGGCGCAUAGUCGCGGGCAGUAGACCCGAAACCGGGUGAUCUAGUCAUGCCCAGGGUGAAGGUGCGGUAACACGCACUGGAGGCCCGAACCCACUCCCGUUGCAAAGGUAGGGGAUGAGGUGUGAUUAGGAGUGAAAAGCUAAUCGAACCCGGAGAUAGCUGGUUCUCCUCGAAAGCUAUUUAGGUAGCGCCUCAUAUGUAUCCUCUCGGGGGUAGAGCACUGUUAUGGCUAGGGGGUCAUCGCGACUUACCAAACCAUUGCAAACUCCGAAUACCGAGACGGACUGUAUGGGAGACACACGGCGGGUGCUAACGUCCGUCGUGAAAAGGGAAACAACCCAGACCCACAGCUAAGGUCCCAAAUUCAGUGCUAAGUGGAAAACCAUGUGGAAAGGCACAGACAGCCAGGAGGUUGGCUUUAGAAGCAGCCACCCUUUAAAGAAAGCGUAAUAGGCUCACUGGUCGAGUCGGUCUGCGGGGAAGAUUUAA